UCCAGACUCCUACGGGAGGCAGCAGUGGGGGAUAUUGCACAAUGGGGGAAACCCUGAUGCAGCAACGCCGCGUGAGUGAAGAAGUAUUUCGGUAUGUAAAGCUCUCUCAGCAGGGAAGAGAAUGACGGUACCUGACUAAGAAGCCCCGGCUAACUACGUGCCAGCAGCCGCGGUAAUACGUAGGGGGCGAGCGUUAUCCGGAUUUACUGGGUGUAAAGGGAGCGUAGACGGCUGGUCAAGUCUGAAGUGAAAGCCCGGGGCUUAACCCCGGAACGGCUUUGGAAACUGAGCAGCUAGAGUGCUGGAGAGGUAAGCGGAAUUCCUAGUGUAGCGGUGAAAUGCGUAGAUAUUAGGAGGAACACCAGUGGCGAAGGCGGCUUACUGGACAGUAACUGACGUUGAGGCUCGAAAGCGUGGGGAGCAAACAGGAUUAGAUACCCGCGUAUG
rnacentral:rRNA from 1 species